rnacentral:tRNA from 1 species
GGGCCCGUGACUCAGUCUGGUAGACGUGAAAAGCGGCCAAAAGUACCCGGCUCUUAGCAGCCCAAUGCUGAGGGUAACCGGGCAGUCGAGGGUUCGAAUCCCUCCGGGCCCG